CAAUUUUCAUGACUUGUACUUGAAGUUUCUUGAUAAAGUUAAUUCGAAGGCCUUAAAUAAGGAGAUUGUCCAGGCCACUUAUGAGAACUGCAAGGUUCUCUUAGGUUCGGAGCUGAUAAAAUCAAGUUCAGAGGAGCGUUCAUUGCUAAAAAACCUGGGAAGCUGGCUUGGAAAGUUAACUAUUGGUAGGAAUCAAGUUCUAAGGGCUCGUGAGAUUGAUCCUAAAUCUUUGAUCAUAGAGGCAUAUGAGAAGGGGCUGAUGAUUGCUGUAAUUCCAUUUACUUCAAAGGUUCUCGAGCCAUGCCAAAGCAGUCUAGCAUAUCAACCUCCUAAUCCUUGGACAAUGGGUAUUCUUGGAUUGCUUGCUGAAAUUUAUUCAAUGCCAAACUUGAAGAUGAACCUUAAAUUUGACAUAGAGGUUCUAUUCAAGAACCUUGGUGUAGAUAUGAAGGACAUAACACCCACUUCUUUUCUGAAGGAUCGGAAAAGAGAAAUUGAAGGGAACCCUGAUUUCUCUAAUAAAGAUGCUGGAGCAUCCCAACCACAGAUUGUUGCUG
rnacentral:misc_RNA from 1 species